GUAAAGUCACCUGCCCAACAUCAUUGUACUGCUCCUGGCAGAGUCCCAAACACCUGGUCUCAAGCACAUCCUGAACUGGCCACCAGCCCUUGGCUCAGCCCUCCGGGGACAAUAGAAGUGACCAAGGUGUGUCCACGCCUCAGGGACCUCUCGGCCUCCUCUCUGGUCCUCGCACCUGCCAGGCUCAGCGGGAGGCAGCAGGUCUGGACCCAUUCAGUACCAGGGCAGCAAAUUCAGCUCCUCCUUCCGACUAGCCUGCUGCUGACCAGAGCAGCAGCACCUGUGGUCUCCGACGAUCCUGACCCCGCAGAAGGCAGUCCCACCCCUGCCUGGUGCUGCCCUGCCCCUAGGGAGCUGCCCAAGUCGGGAGGAGGCAGCCAGACCCUUUCCACAGAGCUCACAGCACAGGGACCCAAAAUAUGUCCAAAGGGAUAUUACACACACACAAAAAAAGAUGCUAUCCAGUAGAGGAAAACAUAGAUUCCGUGAAAGAAGCCAGUCGCAAAGGACAAAUCCUGCAGGAAUCCGCUCAUAUGAGAUGAACACAAAUUCUGGAGAUCUGUGGUGGCUGCCCCUGGACAUGACGGUGUUAAUGCUGCUGAAGGGACACUUAAAAAUGGUGAGGACGGUAAUUUUCCAGUUACGUGCAUCUGACCGCAAUUUAAUGAAGUUAGGAAAAGAGAAGCAUGAUCUCAUUCUUCUUCGAAAAAAAAUUCUAUCAGUGACUUAUGGCUGUAUGUAUAGAAAAAUCUGGAAAGCUAUACAUAGCAUUGUAUAUCAUUAAGCCCGCGGGUGGGUAAGAUUGGAGAGGGUUGUCUAUACGACACACUCUUCUAUCAUUUAAAACUGGAGCUUUUAGGAGUAGGAAAAAUAUCUGGGGAGAAGAGACCUUUCUCACUGUGUGGUUUCAGAGAUUGUAAAAGUUUACAAGAAGUACCUGCCUUCUACCGUGUUAGGAGAGGGUGAGCCCGCCCAGCCCGCCCCACCCAGGUGACAGACACGCCACAGGGCG